rnacentral:rRNA from 1 species
CCUACGGGCGGCAGCAGUGGGGAAUAUUGCGCAAUGGGGGGAACCCUGACGCAGCCACGCCGCGUGAGUGAAGAAGGCCUUCGGGUUGUAAAGCUCUUUAAUCAGGGACGAAGAAUGACGGUAUCUGAAGCAUAAGAUCCGGCUAAAUACGUGACAGCAGCCGCGGUAAUACGGAGGGAGCAAGCGUUAUCCGGAUUUACUGGGGGUAAAGGGAGUGUAGGCGGGCCGGCAAGUCUGAAGUGAAAUCUGGGGGCUUAACCCCCAAACUGCUUUUGAAACUGGGGGUCUAGAGUGAUGGAGAGGCAGGCGGAAUGCCCAGUGUAGCGGUGAAAUGCGUAGAUAUUGGGAGGAACACCAGUGGCGAAGGCGGCCUGCUGGACAUUAACUGACGCUGAGGCGCGAAAGCGUGGGGAGCAAACAGGAUUAGAUACCCGGGUAGUC